GAUGAACGCUAGCGGCAGGCUUAACACAUGCAAGUCGAGGGGCAGCGCGAUGUAGCAAUACAUUGGCGGCGACCGGCGCACGGGUGCGUAACACGUAUGGAACUUACCCUUUACUGGGAGAUAGCCCGGAGAAAUCCGGAAUAAUAUCCCAUAAUAAACGAAGUGGCAUCACUUUGUUUUGAAAGCUCCGGCGGUAAAGGAUGGCCAUGCGCACGAUUAGCUAGUAGGUGAGGUAACGGCUCACCUAGGCUACGAUCGUUAGGGGGCCUGAGAGGGUUAUCCCCCACACUGGUACUGAGACACGGACCAGACUCCUACGGGAGGCAGCAGUGAGGAAUAUUGCGCAAUGGAGGCAACUCUGACGCAGCCAUGCCGCGUGCAGGAAGAAGGCGCUACGCGUUGUAAACUGCUUUUAACCGGGAAGAAACCCUCCGACGUGUCGGAGGUUGACGGUACCGGAGGAAUAAGCACCGGCUAACUUCGUGCCAGCAGCCGCGGUAAAGUAG
rnacentral:rRNA from 1 species